CAGUCCCCCUGCUUUCUCCUACAAUCACAGGGCCGGCCCUGGCCAGACGCGUAUGAUGAUCGCUGCCCGCUGUGCACCCACGCUUGACCGGACACCCCCCUCCCCAUUAGCAGGCACGGCCACGCUUAGGGCGCUGCUCUCGGAAGCCGAGCUGUGCAGCAGCAUUAUGCAGCCUGUAUGCGCACAGCGCCUACCUUCCUGGCUGCUGGACCCAAGCCGCUCCUCCUCCUCUGCAGACAACGCUGUGGACCUGUGGCUGUGGUAACCUGAGCCACAGCUGCAGGAGAAAUCAUUCUGGUACUAAAAAUUGAAAAUAAAGAAUCUUUAUAAAAAUAAAUAAAAGGGAUUGACAUAAUGUCGUCAUUACUAAUGCGUGGCUUGGGUUGCGUGAACAAUAACGCCCAAACGGACAAGAUCGGAUCAAAAUUUGAAUUGCACCCCCAGGGUGUAGGAUGUAAUAAACUAUAAAAAUGGUCCUAUCACUUUUUACCGUAUCUGCUACGGGUGCUCCUUGGGUAACGCCAAGAACCAUGGAUUAAUAUUUACCUACAUGAAGACGUCUCAAAUUUACAUCUCUAUAGAUUUACCAACCCGUGAAAAUCACAAACUCCCGUGCAAAGAACGGGUAAAACGCUAGUUCUUUAUUAAAAAAAAUUUAAAAAUAAUAACCGUAAGCAAGUAAAGGAAAACGAAGAAAUACAAGGCAGGAAGUAGGAAGCGAAAGAGAGGGGAAUGUUAAAAAAGGGAUAAGCCGCCAUGGAAUAAAAAAAUAGAAAAAAAAAAUCUGCAGUCCACGAAUGUAGAGGAGAAGAAGGGACUUAACCAAAUUACUUAGGGACUUAGAUCACAUAUCUUGUGGCAUCACAGACAAGUGCUAUAGUCAGCCGAGGACUUAUAUUCCAACCAAGGGAACCAGGUACUUGCAAAAUCAGAAGGUUUCACACAUGAUUAUUAUUGGUAGUUAUUUAUUGCUUUAGUAAUGGGCCCAGUAAAGUUUACAAUUUAUAUUCCCUACCACAUGCACAGGGUUUGGUCCGAAAUAUCAAUAGUCACUGCAACGGUGGCCAGUCCUCUCUCCAUGCAUAAUUAAAGGAAAGUGAGCGAUUGCCUCCCGCCCACCGGUUCUGACACUAGCACACCCCCCCCCCCGUGCUGUGCAUAGCCGCUUCGCAUGCGAAAGUAGAUUGUAUUUUUUUAUAUUUUGAACAGAGGGGUCUGGUCACGCCUCCCCUCUUUGGCCACACCUCCUCUCAUUACCGGGGCCCGGCAAAGCUGACUGCAUCCCUGCGUGUAGGGCAUAAUAUUGUGCAAGAGGCAUUACUGCAUGGGGAAUAACAUGGUAUAACGGGCACUAUUGUGUCGGUGUAAGGUAGUCUUUUCAUGCAAGACACCACGCCCCCUGCACUGAGACCACAUCCCUUUUUGGGUGCACAGAAAUAUUUUAUUUUUGCAAUGUUUAUGGGGGAGGUGCAUUUGUUAGUCUUUGCACUGGGAGCCAAAUUGUCCAGAAACAGCCCUGCAGAUACAGCAAGUCCCACAGUUUACUGGAUAGCUCGAGAUUCAGUAGUGAGUUGUCACACCCCCCGCACCAAGCCACUCCUCCCUGCAUUCGGCACUAAUGCCAAAAUGAUCUGUAUUCAUAGGCCGUGAUCCCUAGAGAUGGGCCCCCUAAGCUGAUAUAGAUACACCCGUCAGCUAAUCACCAGGCCGGGCAGCAAAGUUGUAAGCAGACCAUCAAAGGCCACUUCAUCGCCACGUGGCCUGGUGCAUUGCACCGUCUACACUGCCCAGGGAGGUGCGGUGACUUCAAUGGCUGGGGAGGCACUGACUAGUAUCAGAGACAGAAUUGUACACACAUAAAUGAUUUGAUGUUGAGUUUUGACUAUAAAAAUGAUUAGAACAAUACAAAGAUGAUAUAAAUAAUACAAAGAUGAUCUUUCUAAGUUAUAAAUAUCUUCUUUGACUUAUUCCAAUCGUUUUUUAUAGUCAAAACUCUGGAGUAUACUGGGGUAUGACAGGUGACUGUGUCACGAUCCUGGUAAUUAGUCACCACUUCUUACCGUCUAAGUGCCUCCUGAGACUGGUCCAGCGUUCCAAGCCUGGAUUCCACCUGCGCUGUCUGCGUACAGCGCGCUGUACAACAUCGCCUCAGUCUCCCUCCUGUGAUCCCGGCAGCGCUGUCAUGGCAACUACACAGCAAGUUUCUCCUGUCACAAUGAAUGGCGUCUCCUGCCCUCCGCGGCCUCCGCCGCUGCCAUUACUACAUAUUCCCACAUGUUAAGUUCAAACAGACUUUCCCUCCAGAAUCAAACUUGGGCGCAGCCAUGUUUGGAUUCAUCACAUGAUACCUUACAGCCUAUCCACUGUGCUCUGGACUCUGCCUGAUUGCUCAGCCAAUACCUGCUUCCCAGUUGGUAUAAAUAUCCUGCAUCCAGGCUGCCUAAUUGUCGGAGCUUUGGUUGUUUAUCCUAGUGAUACAUGGCUCUCCUGGUUGUGGAUGUUCUAGCUUGUGCUUCCAGGUAUUCCAGCUCCUGUGACCUUGCUCCACUUAAAGAGACCCCCGCACCAGUUUCCAUCCUGCAGUGCUGCCAGACUCCUGCAGUGUUCCUACAUUGCAUCCUGUGAUCUGCAGUGAUCUAUCACCGGCUUCCAGCUUUCAGCGUUGUUCCAGUAUCGCUUCCAGCUUCCAGCAGUGUUCCAGUAUCACUCUCUCAUUGCUUACCAACAUUGCUUUCCGUGAUCUACAGUAACUUCAUCACCGGCUUCCAGCUUCCAGCGUUGUUCCAGUCUCGCUUCCAGCGGUGUUCCUGAGUCACUUCCAGCUCUCAGCGGUGUCCUGUAUUACUCUCCAUCUCCUGCGGUGUUCCAGCAUUGAUCCGCUUAUCAUCUACCACAAAUCAUCGAAUCACAGUUCACCAUCGAUACUCACCAUCAGACUCUAUUUACAACGGUGAGUUCAAUACACCUUCUGUCUGCUCCGGUUCCAUCUGGGAUCCCCAGCAGUUUUUCUAAGUUCCCUUCUACUUCUCUGCAUCUGUACCAACUCCAGCUGCCAGAGUGUCAUCGGCUGGACAAUACCAGCUCGUUCCCUCAUACAGUGGUUAGCUGUGGCCAAUGGACUUACCAUCUCUGGGUCUUGCAAGGACUUUGUCUCAUAUCAUCCAGCAUAGCCACAGUACUCGCUUACCACUGUGCUCCUAGGAAAUGUACUGCUGUCUAAUCUGCACAAGUUAUUGUUGAAAGUUAUCUGAACUGCCAAGGUGUCUAAACUGUGUGUUCAAUAAACAGACUUUGUUUUUUAUA